rnacentral:rRNA from 1 species
AUUGAACGCUGGCGGCAGGCCUAACACAUGCAAGUCGAGCGAGCGGCGGACGGGUGAGUAAUGUAUGGGGACUGCCCGAUAGAGGGGGAUAACUACUGGAAACGGUGGCUAAUACCGCAUACUAUCGGAUAACCCAUAGGGGAUUAGCUAGUAGGGGGGGUAAAGGCUCACCUAGGCGACGAUCUCUAGCUGGUCUGAGAGGAUGAUCAGCCAAACUGGGAAUGAGAAACGGCCCCGAAUCCUACGGAGGGAGCAGUGGGGAAAAUUGCACAAUGGGCGCAAGCCUGAUGCAGCCAUGCCGGGUGUAUGAAGAAGGCCUUAGGGUUGUAAAGUACUUUAAGCGGGGAGGCGUUACCCGCAGAAGAAGCACCGGCUAAAUCCGUGCCAGCAGCCGCGGUAAUAC